AAGAUAUUAUGUCAAAGGCCUAGCUGUUGAAAGGGGGAAAGUAACAGUCAGGUUCAAAAGGAAAUUUCCCUCGAUUGGCUAGGAAUCUGAAGGAGGUGUAGUAAGGUGAAUUGAAAUUAAGAAAAUUUCCUACAAAUUCAAUAAAGGGACUUUUGAAAGAACAGUUUGGAUUUUUGUUGUAAUUGGCCGUUGAAGUUUCUGACAGCAAGGUUCAAAAGGAGAAAAUUUAGUUAAGCUGAAGUUCAAUGUCCAGAAAAGUUCAGAGACGUUUUUCACGAGGAAGGAGCGAGAUUCAGCCAAAAGUGCAAAUCUAUGAAAGGUAGAACCUUGGAUUUCCUCCAACUUUGAUAAAGAAAGUUUUG
rnacentral:lncRNA from 1 species